rnacentral:misc_RNA from 1 species
GAAGGUUCACAUAUGGGUGACAAAUGUAGCGUGAAACGGUCAGUAAUUGGCCGCCAUUGCCGGAUAGGUUCCAAUGUGAAGAUCGCUAAUUCAGUCGUCAUGGAUCAUGUUACCAUUGCUGACGGUUGUUCAAUUCAAGGUUCGGUUAUCUGCAGCAAUGUACAACUUCAGGAGCGCGCUGUUUUAAGAGAUUGUCAAGUAGGAGCAGGUUUUGUGGUGACUGCUGCUUGUGAGUACAAAGGAGAGGCCUUGGCUAGAAAAGAAAAAUGAAGUUAGGAAGAUGCGUU